AAGGGAGACCUAAUUCAGGUAAAAGACGAAAAAAAAGUAGUCGCUACCAAGAAUCAAUCCCAAAAGGUCGGAGCGAGGCGAAAUUGGCUUUCAAACUAGGUUCUGGGUUCAAACAAGACCUGAAUCAGGAACAAGGGCUAUUAGCUCAGGUGGUUAGAGCGCACCCCUGAUAAGGGUGAGGUCCCUGGUUCGAGUCCAGGAUGGCCCACCUGCACAGGUGGCAAAAACAAGAGAAGCGAGGAAUCAGCACCUUAUCUUACUUAUAUAGUAAGAGAGAAUGCUGGCUCUGAGUAAAGAGUCCAGAGGAACCUUGAAAACUGCAUAGAGCUAGGUGAAAAAGCCAAAAAAGAAGACCGCAAG
rnacentral:tRNA from 1 species